GACGAACGCUGGCGGCGUGCCUAAUACAUGCAAGUAGAACGCUGAAGGAGGAGCUUGCUUCUCUGGAUGAGUUGCGAACGGGUGAGUAACGCGUAGGUAACCUGCCUGGUAGCGGGGGAUAACUAUUGGAAACGAUAGCUAAUACCGCAUAAGAGUAGAUGUUGCAUGACAUUUGCUUAAAAGGUGCACUUGCAUCACUACCAGAUGGACCUGCGUUGUAUUAGCUAGUUGGUGAGGUAACGGCUCACCAAGGCGACGAUACAUAGCCGACCUGAGAGGGUGAUCGGCCACACUGGGACUGAGACACGGCCCAGACUCCUACGGGAGGCAGCAGUAGGGAAUCUUCGGCAAUGGACGGAAGUCUGACCGAGCAACGCCGCGUGAGUGAAGAAGGUUUUCGGAUCGUAAAGCUCUGUUGUAAGAGAAGAACGAGUGUGAGAGUGGAAAGUUCAC
rnacentral:rRNA from 1 species